CAACGCCUUUAUACCAUAGAAUAAGAGAUGUAGAACGCGGAAGUUACGUUCCUGAUAGUUUUCCUCUCGUUCCCUGUCAACAAUUGACGAUAAUUAAUCUUAGCUACUCUACAACUUUCAAAGGUGCCAGGAGAUAAUUAGCACAGGUGGUCCCUCUGCCUUCUGCAAACACGUGCAGUAACAUGGAGAUAUUGCUGUGUGGGAACCCUAAGCCUAAAAAGAUCCACCUACCACAUGGGCCUACUAUGGCUGAACCCAAGUCCAUGGAGUCCCCGGGUUCUGGCUGUGGUGUUCCAUCACAGAGAAGCUCACAGCAGGGUCCAGAGAUGGUCUCAGUGAAGCUGGAGGACUGCAGUCAACCACUGGAAGUCAAUGAGAUUGUGAUCGGGGAAGAGAGAGAACUUAAAGUAGAACUUAAAGAAGGAGAAGAAAGAGAGAGGAGUGAAAGAGGAAGCUGAGAUACAAGUCAAAGAAGAAGAGGAGAACAGAGAAGUGUCUGCUCCAGAUCUAGACGAAGAGGAGCAAGAAGUAGAUAGUAUCACUGACCCAGAGAUGAACGUACUUUGGUGCAAAAAGUGCAAAUCAAUCCCUGAACAACAGCAAAGGACUACUGCAAUUACAAGCAGGACUACUCCAUCCAGAUGCAGGAGAGAUCUCCAACCCAGGUUCAGACAGUGAGCCCAGUUCCACAGCAUCAGGAAACAAUAAACACAGACAGAGGAACUCAAGACAGAAACAUCACCACUGCAUGGACUGCUUCACUAGUUUCUAUGAGCCAAAGGAGUUGAAGACACACUUGUAGGCCCCAACCCUGCUCAGACUGCAGAGACAGUUUUAUUUGUCCAAUUGACCUUAAAUCACCCCAACAGACUCUCAAAAGAAAGAAAACUUACCCCUGUGAUCAAUGGGGGAAUAGCAAACUAAAGAUGUACCAAGUAACUCAAAGGGAUACCAGAACACAGGAAAGAAGCCUUUUCACUGCUCACAGUGUGGGAAGGGUUUCUGUUGGUCAUAAAAUAUGAAUACACACUGGUUAAAGUAUCACAGGCCUGACACUGGACUGUUGCUUUAGAAGAAAGUCGACUUCAAACCACAGAAGUAAAACAUGCAAACACAUGUUAUUAUGUAAAUAGCAUUUACCAACCGCAACUGUUAUGUGAAAAUAGAGCAGGGGUUCUUGCGUUAACAUGAACACCACUUGUCACCAGUACUCAGUAUUUACUUACCCUGUAUUAUCACUUCAACUCUGGGUAACAUGUAAUAAUUUCUUUAGUAUCCGGUAAAAACUCUGGAUGUCUAACAAAUGAUGGCACAUGGUAAUUCAUAUGUUAGUACCACUGCUGCAAACAAAACAUCCACACACCAAUGCUAACGAUGCUAGUUAACUUUGCCAGCUUGCUCUAUGUAUGACUGGCCUGUCCUGCCCCCUUUUUUUUAAUAGAGUUUAACUAUUUAAUUAUGUAGCGUUUUGGUAGUGGAAGAAGUAUCAAUACUAUGUAAUUUGCAGCUGCCUUAUAUAUUUUUGAUUUAUUGGAAAGCCGUUGAGUUGCUGGCUCCAUACCUACAGUAUCUAACUGACGGCAGCACAAAUAUAACGCCACUUCCGUUUUAGAAACGCGGGCGGAAGUUUACGUUCCUGCUUCUUUUCGUCGCGUUUCCUUACUCAACCAAGCAACUGACGACAAGGGCUAUUUUUAAAGGUGAGUUUAUGAUCUGUUGAACUAUUUAUGAGCGUGAAUAAAGUCUGGCUUCCAUUAUCAA